GGUUAAGCGACUAAGCGUACACGGUGGAUGCCCUGGCAGUCAGAGGCGAUGAAGGACGUGCUAAUCUGCGAAAAGCGUCGGUAAGGUGAUAUGAACCGUUAUAACCGGCGAUGUCCGAAUGGGGAAACCCAGUGCGAUUCGUUGCACUAUCGUUAACUGAAUACAUAGGUUAACGAGGCGAACCGGGGGAACUGAAACAUCUAAGUACCCCGAGGAAAAGAAAUCAACCGAGAUUCCCCCAGUAGCGGCGAGCGAACGGGGAGCAGCCCAGAGUCUGAAUCAGCUUGUGUGUUAGUGGAACGGUCUGGAAAGUCCGACGGUACAGGGUGAUAGUCCCGUACACCAAAAUGCACAGGCUGUGAACUCGAAGAGUAGGGCGGGACACGUGGUAUCCUGUCUGAAUAUGGGGGGACCAUCCUCCAAGGCUAAAUACUCCUGACUGACCGAUAGUGAACCAGUACCGUGAGGGAAAGGCGAAAAGAACCCCGGCGAGGGGAGUGAAAAAGAACCUGAAACCGUGUACGUACAAGCAGUGGGAGCACCUUCGGGUGUGACUGCGUACCUUUUGUAUAAUGGGUCAGCGACUUAUAUUCUGUAGCAAGGUUAACCGUAUAGGGGAGCCGCAGGGAAACCGAGUCUUAACUGGGCGUUAAGUUGCAGGGUAUAGACCCGAAACCCGGUGAUCUAGCCAUGGGCAGGUUGAAGGUUGGGUAACACUAACUGGAGGACCGAACCGACUAAUGUUGAAAAAUUAGCGGAUGACUUGUGGCUGGGGGUGAAAGGCCAAUCAAACCGGGAGAUAGCUGGUUCUCCCCGAAAGCUAUUUAGGUAGCGCCUCGUGAACUCAUCUUCGGGGGUAGAGCACUGUUUCGGCUAGGGGGUCAUCCCGACUUACCAACCCGAUGCAAACUACGAAUACCGAAGAAUGUUAUCACGGGAGACACACGGCGGGUGCUAACGUCCGUCGUGAAGAGGGAAACAACCCAGACCGCCAGCUAAGGUCCCAAAGUCAUGGUUAAGUGGGAAACGAUGUGGGAAGGCACAGACAGCCAGGAUGUUGGCUUAGAAGCAGCCAUCAUUUAAAGAAAGCGUAAUAGCUCACUGGUCGAGUCGGCCUGCGCGGAAGAUGUAACGGGGCUAAACCAUGCACCGAAGCUGCGGCAGCGACACUAUGUGUUGUUGGGUAGGGGAGCGUUCUGUAAGCCUGCGAAGGUGUGCUGUGAGGCAUGCUGGAGGUAUCAGAAGUGCGAAUGCUGACAUAAGUAACGAUAAAGCGGGUGAAAAGCCCGCUCGCCGGAAGACCAAGGGUUCCUGUCCAACGUUAAUCGGGGCAGGGUGAGUCGACCCCUAAGGCGAGGCCGAAAGGCGUAGUCGAUGGGAAACAGGUUAAUAUUCCUGUACUUGGUGUUACUGCGAAGGGGGGACGGAGAAGGCUAUGUUAGCCGGGCGACGGUUGUCCCGGUUUAAGCAUGUAGGCUGGUUGUCCAGGCAAAUCCGGAUAAUCAAGGCUGAGGUGUGAUGACGAGGCACUACGGUGCUGAAGUAACAAAUGCCCUGCUUCCAGGAAAAGCCUCUAAGCAUCAGGUAACAUCAAAUCGUACCCCAAACCGACACAGGUGGUCAGGUAGAGAAUACCAAGGCGCUUGAGAGAACUCGGGUGAAGGAACUAGGCAAAAUGGUGCCGUAACUUCGGGAGAAGGCACGCUGGUGUGUAGGUGAAGUCCCUGCGGAUGGAGCUGAGACCAGUCGAAGAUACCAGCUGGCUGCAACUGUUUAUUAAAAACACAGCACUGUGCAAACACGAAAGUGGACGUAUACGGUGUGACGCCUGCCCGGUGCCGGAAGGUUAAUUGAUGGGGUUAUCCGUAAGGAGAAGCUCUUGAUCGAAGCCCCGGUAAACGGCGGCCGUAACUAUAACGGUCCUAAGGUAGCGAAAUUCCUUGUCGGGUAAGUUCCGACCUGCACGAAUGGCGUAAUGAUGGCCAGGCUGUCUCCACCCGAGACUCAGUGAAAUUGAACUCGCUGUGAAGAUGCAGUGUACCCGCGGCAAGACGGAAAGACCCCGUGAACCUUUACUAUAGCUUGACACUGAACAUUGAGCCUUGAUGUGUAGGAUAGGUGGGAGGCUUUGAAGCGUGGACGCCAGUCUGCGUGGAGCCAACCUUGAAAUACCACCCUUUAAUGUUUGAUGUUCUAACGUUGGCCCCUGACCGGGGUUGCGGACAGUGUCUGGUGGGUAGUUUGACUGGGGCGGUCUCCUCCCAAAGCGUAACGGAGGAGCACGAAGGUUAGCUAAUCCUGGUCGGACAUCAGGAGGUUAGUGCAAUGGCAUAAGCUAGCUUGACUGCGAGCGUGACGGCGCGAGCAGGUGCGAAAGCAGGUCAUAGUGAUCCGGUGGUUCUGAAUGGAAGGGCCAUCGCUCAACGGAUAAAAGGUACUCCGGGGAUAACAGGCUGAUACCGCCCAAGAGUUCAUAUCGACGGCGGUGUUUGGCACCUCGAUGUCGGCUCAUCACAUCCUGGGGCUGAAGUAGGUCCCAAGGGUAUGGCUGUUCGCCAUUUAAAGUGGUACGCGAGCUGGGUUUAGAACGUCGUGAGACAGUUCGGUCCCUAUCUGCCGUGGGCGCUGGAGAAUUGAGGGGGGCUGCUCCUAGUACGAGAGGACCGGAGUGGACGCAUCACUGGUGUUCGGGUUGUCAUGCCAAUGGCACUGCCCGGUAGCUAAAUGCGGAAGAGAUAAGUGCUGAAAGCAUCUAAGCACGAAACUUGCCCCGAGAUGAGUUCUCCCUGAGACUUUAAGUCUCCUGAAGGAACGUUAAAGACGAUGACGUUGAUAGGCCGGGUGUGUAAGCGCAGCGAUGCGUUGAGCUAACCGGUACUAAUGAACCGUGAGGCUUAACCUU
rnacentral:rRNA from 1 species